ACUACGGGAGGCAGCAGUGAGGAAUAUUGGUCAAUGGGCGCUAGCCUGAACCAGCCAAGUAGCGUGAAGGAUGACUGCCCUCUGGGUUGUAAACUUCUUUUAUAAAGGAAUAAAACGAGGCACGUGUGCCUUUUUGCAUGUACUUUAUGAAUAAGGAUCGGCUAACUCCGUGUCAGCAGCCGCGGUAAUACGGAGGAUCCGAGCGUUAUCCGGAUUUCUUGGGUUUAAAGGGAGCGUAGAUGGGUUGUUAAGUCAGUUGUGAAAGUUUGCGGCACAACCGUAAAAUUGCAAUUGAUACUGGCAGUCUUGAGUACAGUUGAGGUAAGCGGAAUUCGUGGUGUAGCGGUGAAAUGCUUAGAUAUCACGAAGAACCCCGAUUGCGAAGGCAGCUUACUAAACUGUGACUGACAUUGAUGCUCGAAAGUGUGGGUAUCAAACAGGAUUAGAUACCCUAGUAGUC
rnacentral:rRNA from 1 species